AUUAGCUCAGUUGGAGAGCGUCUGCUACAAGCAGAGGGUCACAGGUUCGAGCCCUCGUAUCCUCCA
rnacentral:tRNA from 1 species